UACGUAGGUGGCAAGCGUUAUCCGGAUUUAUUGGGCGUAAAGGGAACGCAGGCGGUCCUUUAAGUCUGAUGUGAAAGCCUUCGGCUUAACCGGAGUAGUGCAUUGGAAACUGGGAGACUUGAGUGCAGAAGAGGAGAGUGGAACUCCAUGUGUAGCGGUGAAAUGCGUGGAUAUAUGGAAGAACACCAGUGGCGAAAGCGGCUCUCUGGUCUGUAACUGACGCUGAGGUUCGAAAGCGUGGGUAGCAAACAGG
rnacentral:rRNA from 1 species